UACGAAGGGUGCAAGCGUUACUCGGAAUUACUGGGCGUAAAGCGUGCGUAGGUGGUUUGUUAAGUCUGAUGUGAAAGCCCCGGGCUCAACCUGGGAAUUGCAUUGGAUACUGGCGGGCUAGAGUGCGGUAGAGGGUAGUGGAAUUCCCGGUGUAGCAGUGAAAUGCGUAGAGAUCGGGAGGAACAUCUGUGGCGAAGGCGACUGUCUGGACCAGCACUGACACUGAGGCACGAAAGCGUGGGGAGCAAACAGG
rnacentral:rRNA from 1 species